CAAAGGCUUGGUCCUAACUUUGCUGUCACCUAAAGCUAAAUUUACACAUGCAAGUAUCCGCAACCCCGUGAGGAUGCCCUUAACCCUCUUAUGAGAUCAAGGAGCAGGUAUCAGGCACACUACUGUAGCCCAUUACACCUUGCUUAGCCACACCCCCAAGGGAAUUCAGCAGUGAUAAACAUUAAGCCAUAAGUGCAAACUUGACUUAGUUAAAGCUAAGAGGGCCGGUAAAACUCGUGCCAGCCACCGCGGUUAUACGAGAGGCCCAAGAUGACAGAAACCGGCGUAAAGAGUGGUUAAGACAUAGAGUAAUUAAAGCUAAACCUCUUCAAGGCUGUUAUACGCAUCCGAAGAUAUGAAGGCCCUCUACGAAAGUGGCUUUAAUAUUUCUGAGUCCACGAAAGCUACGGAACAAACUGGGAUUAGAUACCCCACUAUGCAUAGCUGUAAACAUUGAUAACAACUUACCUACAUAUCCGCCCGGGAACUACAAGUACCAACUUGAAACCCAAAGGACUUGGCGGUGCUUUAGACCCACCUAGAGGAGCCUGUUCUAGAACUGAUAACCCCCGUUAAACCUCACCCUCCCUUGUUAUUUCCGCCUAUAUACCGCCGUCGUCAGCUUACCCUGUGAAGGUCUUAUAGUGAGCACAACUGGUACAACCUUAAACGUCAGGUCGAGGUGUAGUAGAUGAGAGGGGAAGCAAUGGGCUACAUUCGUCUACUGACGAACAACGAAUGGUUUAUUGAAAGCAUAAGCCUAAAGGAGGAUUUAGCAGUAAAAAGGAAAUAGAGUGUCCUUUUGAAACUGGUAGCAGUAAAAAGGAAAUAGAGUGUCCUUUUGAAACUGGCCCUGAAGCGCGCACACACCGCCCGUCACUCUCCCCUAGCUUAAAUCUUAUAAUAACUAAUACAACAACCUAUUAAAGGGGAGGCAAGUCGUAACAUGGUAAGUGUACCGGAAGGUGCACUUGGAAUACA
rnacentral:rRNA from 1 species